UACGAAGGGGGCAAGCGUUGUUCGGAGUUACUGGGCGUAAAGGGCGCGUAGGCGGCUUUUCAAGUCAGGCGUGAAAGCCCCGGGCUUAACCCGGGAAAUGCGCUUGAGACUGUAAAGCUAGAGAGCGGGAGAGGAUGGUGGAAUUCCCAGUGUAGAGGUGAAAUUCGUAGAUAUUGGGAAGAACACCAGUGGCGAAGGCGGCCAUCUGGUCCGCAUCUGACGCUGAGGCGCGAAAGCGUGGGGAGCAAACAGG
rnacentral:rRNA from 1 species